rnacentral:rRNA from 1 species
AAUUUAAAGUCUAGCCUGCCCCCUGAAAUUUUAAAUGGCCGCAGUAUUUUGACUGUGCUAAGGUAGCAUAAUCAUUAGUUUUUUAAUUGAAAGCUGGAAUGAAGGGUU